rnacentral:tRNA from 1 species
GCAAAAGUAGCUUAAUAACAAAGCAAAGCACUGAAAAUGCUUAAAUAGUGGUUAAACCCCUCUCUUUAGCA